UCCCCUAGUAACUGCGAGUGAAGCGGGAAAAGCUCAAAUUUAAAAUGUGGCGGUCUUUGGCCGUCCGAGUUGUAGUCUGGAGAAGUGCUUUCCGCGCUGGACCGUGUAUAAGUCUCUUGGAACAGAGCGUCAUAGAGGGUGAGAAUCCCGUCUUUGACACGGACUACCAGUGCUUUGUGAUGCGCUCUCAAAGAGUCGAGUUGUUUGGGAAUGCAGCUCAAAAUGGGUGGUG
rnacentral:rRNA from 1 species